ACCGAAGGACGAUGAUUUCGAAAUAGGGCAAAUGUGGAUCGGUUAACUAAUUACGGUUAUAUCUACCUUUGGUUGGCAUAAAGAGAACAGCUGACUGUCUAUCGGAGGUGCCGGUGUGACAUGUCCAUGGCAGAAGCAUGGUAAAAAAUCAGCGUAAUAUAAUUCAUCCAACUGUGAGCAACUGUGUCAGUUUCGGGAUUAAGAGCCCUCAGUAAAUACAACAACGAGCCAUAUUCAAGUUGUAGGACAAAGUUUGUACAGCCGUGAUUAUUCCCAAACAUCUAUGCAGUCGGAAAUACUUGACAGGCAAAUGCAAGGAUACUCUAUCGUCAUCUGAGAUGUUAUACAUGAAAACCGCUCAAAAGAAGGCAGGUGCACGGCGAGCAAGACUUCGAAAAUUUCUAACCGAAGCAUAGUGAAUACAAUUGUCUUCUCAACCAUAAGUUAGCUGCCUUGCAUUUCCGAUUACAUAGAUCCAUGCUAUGGCAAUUUGUAUAGCCCUUGGAAGACCUUUGUUACCAAUACGACUCUAUAGCUGGCCUUCAAGCGUCACCACUGGCUCGAGGCCAACCUUGGCACCUAAAUUCAUAAAAGCAAGUCAAUCCUACCCGAGUGCAUGACAUUCUACCGAUGAGAUGAUUCAGCUGUGUAUGUAGGAUAUGGUUUGGACCCCACCUCCAUGAAAGCAGAACGUUCUAUGGAUUUUCACAACACAUUGCCUAAGGACGAAUGGUAAUCAGCUAAGAAGCAUUAGUUUUACCAUUAACAUGAAUCAUCGGCACCAUCGAAAUGACACGUUUCAUCGAAUAAACACAUUGUCUAAAGAAGAAAGGUAAUCGAGUAAAUCCAUCAUUCAGUCUUACCAUGAACGAGAAUCAUACGCGCCAACAACCUUGAUGCAGCGAAGACGCUAUGGCAAACGUGAAAAUACAACGGCAGUAGUUGCAAUGCAGAUCAAUAUCUGGGAUUGCUUACGUGAAGAAAUUUCUGAAAUGCUGGUGAAGAUCUUUUAAAUGUGGUACCCAUAAGACAUAUUACCUUUUAAGACAAUUUCCCUAGAUCUAGGGCAAAAUCAAAACAUCUGCCAGUCCUUGUGAACCCACUACUUUGUGGCUGCUGGUGCAUUUUUCACAGGAACUUCAACAUUGCCCGUGUGUUGUAACUGCUGCAAGUACUAGCUAUAAAUGUUCCGCUGCAAUGGAAGUCCAUCAGCAUUAAGUAACCUGAGCAGAAAAAUUCAAAUCAGAACAAAACAGUCUAUUACUUAGAUUAUAUAGAGGCCAAAACAAAGAUGGAUGUUUAAUGUGAUGUGGGUUGGGUGCGUCUGCCAAGGAUGUUUAAUGUGAAUACUACAAUCUUGGUCUUUCAAAGACAACAUAAUUUAUCCUUCUCAAAAUUAAUCAAAUAUUAGUAUCAAUUUAUUCACAAGUCAGUAAGCACAGAUUACUGUGGACAAUUGGAAAUUAGAAAACAUAAUACCUACCUACCAAGGUGAAUCGAAAUUCCGAUUACAUUCCUGAUCCAUGUACUACACCACACUUCUACU